rnacentral:rRNA from 1 species
GACGAACGCGGCGGCGUGCCUAAUACAUGCAAGUAGAACGCUGAAGGAGGAGCUUGCUCUUCUGGAUGAGUUGCGAACGGGUGAGUAACGCGUAGGUAACCUGCCUGGUAGCGGGUGAUAACUAUUGGAAACGAUAGCUAAUACCGCAUAACAUUGACUAUUGCAUGAUAGUCAAUUGAAAGGUGCAAAUGCACCACUACCAGAUGGACCUGCGUUGUAUUAGCUAGUUGGUGGGGUAACGGCUCACCAAGGCUACGAUACAUAGCCGACCUGAGAGGGUGAUCGGCCACACUGGGACUGAGACACGGCCCAGACUCCUACGGGAGGCAGCAGUAGGGAAUCUUCGGCAAUGGACGGAAGUCUGACCGAGCAACGCCGCGUGAGUGAAGAAGGUUUUCGGAUCGUAAAGCUCUGUUGUAAGAGAAGAAACGAGUGUGAGAAGUGGAAAAGUUUCAACAACUGGG